AAAUUGAAGAGUUUGAUCAUGGCUCAGAUUGAACGCUGGCGGCAGGCCUAACACAUGCAAGUCGAACGGUAACAGGAAGCAGCUUGCUGCUUUGCUGACGAGUGGCGGACGGGUGAGUAAUGUCUGGGAAACUGCCUGAUGGAGGGGGAUAACUACUGGAAACGGUGGCUAAUACCGCAUAACGUCGCAAGACCAAAGAGGGGGACCUUCGGGCCUCUUGCCAUCAGAUGUGCCCAGAUGGGAUUAGCUUGUUGGUGAGGUAACGGCUCACCAAGGCGACGAUCCCUAGCUGGUCUGAGAGGAUGACCAGCCACACUGGAACUGAGACACGGUCCAGACUCCUACGGGAGGCAGCAGUGGGGAAUAUUGCACAAUGGGCGCAAGCCUGAUGCAGCCAUGCCGCGUGUAUGAAGAAGGCCUUCGGGUUGUAAAGUACUUUCAGCGGGGAGGAAGGUGUUGUGGUUAAUAACCACAGCAAUUGACGUUACCCGCAGAAGAAGCACCGGCUAACUCCGUGCCAGCAGCCGCGGUAAUACGGAGGGUGCAAGCGUUAAUCGGAAUUACUGGGCGUAAAGCGCACGCAGGCGGUCUGUCAAGUCGGAUGUGAAAUCCCCGGGCUCAACCUGGGAACUGCAUUCGAAACUGGCAGGCUUGAGUCUUGUAGAGGGGGGUAGAAUUCCAGGUGUAGCGGUGAAAUGCGUAGAGAUCUGGAGGAAUACCGGUGGCGAAGGCGGCCCCCUGGACAAAGACUGACGCUCAGGUGCGAAAGCGUGGGGAGCAAACAGGAUUAGAUACCCUGGUAGUCCACGCCGUAAACGAUGUCUACUUGGAGGUUGUGCCCUUGAGGCGUGGCUUCCGGAGCUAACGCGUUAAGUAGACCGCCUGGGGAGUACGGCCGCAAGGUUAAAACUCAAAUGAAUUGACGGGGGCCCGCACAAGCGGUGGAGCAUGUGGUUUAAUUCGAUGCAACGCGAAGAACCUUACCUGGUCUUGACAUCCACAGAACUUUUCCAGAGAUGGAUUGGUGCCUUCGGGAACCGUGAGACAGGUGCUGCAUGGCUGUCGUCAGCUCGUGUUGUGAAAUGUUGGGUUAAGUCCCGCAACGAGCGCAACCCUUAUCCUUUGUUGCCAGCGGUUAGGCCGGGAACUCAAAGGAGACUGCCAGUGAUAAACUGGAGGAAGGUGGGGAUGACGUCAAGUCAUCAUGGCCCUUACGACCAGGGCUACACACGUGCUACAAUGGCGCAUACAAAGAGAAGCGACCUCGCGAGAGCAAGCGGACCUCAUAAAGUGCGUCGUAGUCCGGAUUGGAGUCUGCAACUCGACUCCAUGAAGUCGGAAUCGCUAGUAAUCGUGGAUCAGAAUGCCACGGUGAAUACGUUCCCGGGCCUUGUACACACCGCCCGUCACACCAUGGGAGUGGGUUGCAAAAGAAGUAGGUAGCUUAACCUUCGGGAGGGCGCUUACCACUUUGUGAUUCAUGACUGGGGUGAAGUCGUAACAAGGUAACCGUAGGGGAACCUGCGGUUGGAUCACCUCCUUACC
rnacentral:rRNA from 1 species